UCAGGAUGAACGCUAGCUACAGGCUUAACACAUGCAAGUCGAGGGGCAGCAUUUCAGUUUGCUUGCAAACUGGAGAUGGCGACCGGCGCACGGGUGAGUAACACGUAUCCAACCUGCCGAUAACUCGGGGAUAGCCUUUCGAAAGAAAGAUUAAUACCCGAUGGUAUAAUCAGACCGCAUGGUCUUGUUAUUAAAGAAUUUCGGUUAUCGAUGGGGAUGCGUUCCAUUAGGCAGUUGGUGAGGUAACGGCUCACCAAACCUUCGAUGGAUAGGGGUUCUGAGAGGAAGGUCCCCCACAUUGGAACUGAGACACGGUCCAAACUCCUACGGGAGGCAGCAGUGAGGAAUAUUGGUCAAUGGGCGCAGGCCUGAACCAGCCAAGUAGCGUGAAGGAUGACUGCCCUAUGGGUUGUAAACUUCUUUUAUAUGGGAAUAAAGUUUUCCACGUGUGGAAUUUUGUAUGUACCAUAUGAAUAAGGAUCGGCUAACUCCGUGCCAGCAGCCGCGGUAAUACGGAGGAUCCGAGCGUUAUCCGGAUUUAUUGGGUUUAAAGGGAGCGUAGGUGGACAGUUAAGUCAGUUGUGAAAGUUUGCGGCUCAACCGUAAAAUUGCAGUUGAUACUGGCUGUCUUGAGUACAGUAGAGGUGGGCGGAAUUCGUGGUGUAGCGGUGAAAUGCUUAGAUAUCACGAAGAACUCCGAUUGCGAAGGCAGCUCACUGGACUGCAACUGACACUGAUGCUCGAAAGUGUGGGUAUCAAACAGGAUUAGAUACCCUGGUAGUCCACACAGUAAACGAUGAAUACUCGCUGUUUGCGAUAUACAGUAAGCGGCCAAGCGAAAGCAUUAAGUAUUCCACCUGGGGAGUACGCCGGCAACGGUGAAACUCAAAGGAAUUGACGGGGGCCCGCACAAGCGGAGGAACAUGUGGUUUAAUUCGAUGAUACGCGAGGAACCUUACCCGGGCUUAAAUUGCAUUUGAAUAUAUUGGAAACAGUAUAGCCGUAAGGCAAAUGUGAAGGUGCUGCAUGGUUGUCGUCAGCUCGUGCCGUGAGGUGUCGGCUUAAGUGCCAUAACGAGCGCAACCCUUAUCUUUAGUUACUAACAGGUCAUGCUGAGGACUCUAGAGAGACUGCCGUCGUAAGAUGUGAGGAAGGUGGGGAUGACGUCAAAUCAGCACGGCCCUUACGUCCGGGGCUACACACGUGUUACAAUGGGGGGUACAGAAGGCAGCUACCUGGUGACAGGAUGCUAAUCCCAAAAGCCUCUCUCAGUUCGGAUCGAAGUCUGCAACCCGACUUCGUGAAGCUGGAUUCGCUAGUAAUCGCGCAUCAGCCAUGGCGCGGUGAAUACGUUCCCGGGCCUUGUACACACCGCCCGUCAAGCCAUGAAAGCCGGGGGUACCUGAAGUACGUAACCGCAAGGAGCGUCCUAGGGUAAAACUGGUAAUUGGGGCUAAGUC
rnacentral:rRNA from 1 species